rnacentral:rRNA from 1 species
UACGGAGGGUGCGAGCGUUGUCCGGAAUCACUGGGCGUAAAGGGCGCGUAGGCGGCUCAUGAAGGCUGUGGUGAAAGUCCGGGGCUCAACCUCGGAUCGGCCGUGGCGACUCGUGGGCUGGAGCACUGUAGAGGCGGGUGGAAUUCCGGGUGUAGCGGUGGAAUGCGUAGAGAUCCGGAAGAACACCAGUGGCGAAGGCGGCCCGCUGGGCAGUGGCUGACGCUGAGGCGCGACAGGCGUGGGGAGCAAACAGGAUUGAGACUACC